GAUGAAGAACGCAGCGAAAUGCGAUACUUGGUGUGAAUUGCAGAAUCCCGUGAACCAUCGAGUCUUUGAACGCAAGUUGCGCCCGAAGCCGUCAGGCCGAGGGCACGCCUGCCUGGGCGUCACACGCCGUUGCCCCCCCGCGCCCCGCCCCCAACUCUUUGGGAGCGACCGCGGGGCGGGCUGAUGAUGGCCUCCCGUGCGCUCCGCCGCGCGGUUGGCCCAAAUACCGAGUCCCCGGCGACGUGCGCCACGACGAUCGGUGGUUGAGAGACCUCUGUCGCAAGUCGUGCGCGCCCGUCGCGUCACGCGGGCUCGCAUAGCGCCUCGCGCCGCACCCGGUGCGGAGCUUUCAACGCGACCCCAGGUCAGGCGGGGUUACCCGCUGAAUUUAAGCAUAUCAAUAAGCGGAGGA
rnacentral:misc_RNA from 1 species